UCCGUAGGUUGAUAAUUAAGUCAGAGGUGAAAUCCUGCUGCUCAACGGUAGAAUUGCCUUUGAUACUGGUUAUCUUGAGUUAUUAUGAAGUAGUUAGAAUAUGUAGUGUAGCGGUGAAAUGCAUAGAUAUUACAUAGAAUACCAAUUGCGAAGGCAGAUUACUAAUAAUCAACUGACACUGAUGGACGAAAGCGUGGGGAGCGAACA
rnacentral:rRNA from 1 species